GAUGAACGCUGGCGGCGUGCCUAAUACAUGCAAGUCGAGCGAACAGACGAGAGUGCUUGCACUCUCUGACGUUAGCGGCGGACGGGUGAGUAACACGUGGGUAACCUACCUAUAAGACUGGGAUAACUUCGGGAAACCGGAGCUAAUACCGGAUAAUAUUUAGCUUCGCAUGACGCAAUAGUGAAAGACGGUUCUGCUGUCACUUAUAGAUGGACCCGCGGUGUAUUAGCUGGUUGGUGAGGUAACGGCUCACCAAGGCAACGAUACAUAGCCGACCUGAGAGGGUGAUCGGCCACACUGGGACUGAGACACGGCCCAGACUCCUACGGGAGGCAGCAGUAGGGAAUCUUCCGCAAUGGACGAAAGUCUGACGGAGCAAAGCCGCGUGAGUGAAGAAGGUUUUCGGAUCGUAAAACUCUGUUGUAAGGGAAGAACAAGUACGUUAGUAACUGAACGUACCUUGACGGUACCUUACCAGAAAGCCACGGCUAACUACGUG
rnacentral:rRNA from 1 species